CAUUUCCGAACCCAGUCCCCCGCCGCCCCCUCCCCGCUCCAGCUGCAGCAAAACUUUGUGAAGUGCUGAGCCCACAGCCAUGGGCGCCUUCCCCGCGUGGUGGACGUGGCGCGGGCAAAGCCCAGCCCCGGGCUCUGUGCGUGGGGCUGGGCCGCUCAGGUGGCGGCUGCCGGACACCAUGUCCGCUGACCUCAUUGCAGGCACAGAUGUUUACUGCACUUUGGGCGAUCCGCAGAAAGCAGAGCAGUAAAGUAGGCCAGCUUGCGGGAAGGCUGUUACCCACAAUUCAUGGAAAAAUGCCGGAUAGUUCCCACUAGGUUGUGGUCGGCUAGGAAACGGCAACUUAUUAAUCUUGUGUCAGAGGGCCAGCUGCAAGCCUGGCAGUUACCAUAUUUCACCACCAACUCCGUGUCUGGACAGCCAUUGUCUAUUUUUUAUGAAAAACUCCACAAAUCAGCUGCUAUUUUCCCCCCUCUACGUGCAGAAACGGCGCUUGGGGGCUGAGGUGGCUCUGGCGCAUCAUCCACACGGCGGUCAGCAGCACGUUAUGGUUCUGGCUCUGGGUUUUCACUGCAGGUCAAAAGUUUGGUCACAGAAAGUUUGGCCCAUUUUCCACUGAUUUGAGAUCCAACCAAUAAUGAAUCAGAAGCAGAACCAAGAAUAGAUCUAAGGAGUUCUGAAUCACAAGCCACCUCUUUCUCAAAACACCCACUCCCUCCCAGUCAGACAGACGUCCCUUGUU